AAACAUGUCUUUUUGAAUUGUAUUUAAAGUCUGACCUGCCCACUGAGUAAUUUUAAAUGGCCGCAGUAUUUUGACUGUGCAAAGGUAGCAUAAUCAUUAGUCUUUUAAUUGAAGGCUGGUAUGAACGGUUGGACGAAGUAUAAGCUGUUUCAUAUAAAUUUAUGAUAGAAUUUUAUAUUUUAGUUAAAAAGCUAAAAUUUUUUUAAAAGACGAGAAGACCCUAUAAAUCUUUAUAAAUAGAUCUAACUAAAUUUUUUGGAUUUAUUUUAUUUUUUUAAUAUUGAUUAUUUUGUUGGGGUGAUGUUAAAAUUUAAUGAACUUUUAAUUUUUUUAAAUCAUUAAUUUAUGAAUUAUUGAUCCAUUAAUAGUGAUUAUAAGAUUAAGUUACUUUAGGGAUAACAGCGUAAUUUUUUUUGAGAGUUCAUAUUGACAAAAAAGUUUGCGACCUCGAUGUUGGAUUAAGGAAUAAUUUUGGGGGCAGCUGCUCAAAAAUUAAGUCUGUUCGACUUUUAAUUUCUUACAUGAUC
rnacentral:rRNA from 1 species